rnacentral:misc_RNA from 1 species
UCCGGUUUGUCACCGGCAGUCUCGCGUGAGUCCCCAACUUAAUGCUGGCAACACGCGACAAGGGUUGCGCUCGUCGCGGGACUUAACCCAACAUCUCACGACACGAGCUGACGACAGCCAUGCAGCAUCUGUGGUGCACCCUCGAAGGUCGCACGUUUCCGUGCGCUUGCAGCACCAUGUCAAGUCCAGGUAAGGUGGGGAUGACGUUCCACGCAAUAACA